rnacentral:lncRNA from 1 species
GCAUGGUGGCGACAGCAGCCGUGGUGGGUUUAUAACGGCGUGGUGGGUUUGUAACGGCCGCAGAACUGAUUCGUUCACAUGCACCCUUCUAGCACCCCUGGAUUCCUUAUCAACAUUUUUCUUUUUACCAACGUUAUUAAUUUAAAAUUUAACUUUUUUAAUUAAAUAAUUUAAUACAUUAUCGAGGACUAACUACGGUCCUGCUAAUCUGAUCUGAAACUGUGGCAUCUGGCCUGCCGUACAAGUAUUAAUAGGAGCUACUGGCUGGGUGGCCUCAUAUGAGGCCCGUCAUGUUGCACACCGGGCUGCACUACAGUUUUGAGUACGACUGUGUACGACACCGCGUCACGUCAAGUUCUUUUUCCCGUUCGGACUACAUUAACAGUAACGGUUCUAUACAUCGAACAGAGUGAGAGUGGACGAGCGUUUCAAUUCUCAUGUCUCACGCUGUGGAGUGCUAGUCACGAGGAAUGUUAGCAUCCGACUAUAUGACUCCUUCUUUUUGUGCUUUUCGUUACCGUCUUUACAUUCUU